AUUGAACGCUGGCGGCAGGCCUAACACAUGCAAGUCGAGCGGAUGAAGGGAGCUUGCCCCUGGAUUCAGCGGCGGACGGGUGAGUAAUGCCUAGGAAUCUGCCUGGUAGUGGGGCAUAACGUCCGGAAACGGGCGCUAAUACCGCAUACGUCCUGCGGGAGAAAGUGGGGGAUCUUCGGACCUCACGCUAUCAGAUGAGCCUAGGUCGGAUUAGCUAGUUGGUGGGGUAAAGGCUUACCAAGGCGACGAUCCGUAACUGGUCUGAGAGGAUGAUCAGUCACACUGGAACUGAGACACGGUCCAGACUCCUACGGGAGGCAGCAGUGGGGAAUAUUGGACAAUGGGCGAAAGCCUGAUCCAGCCAUGCCGCGUGUGUGAAGAAGGUCUUCGGAUUGUAAAGCACUUUAAGUUGGGAGGAAGGGCAGUAAGUUAAUACCUUGCUGUUUUGACGUUACCAACAGAAUAAGCACCGGCUAACUUCGUG
rnacentral:rRNA from 1 species